ACUGCGUACGGGCGGGUGUAGGGGACACGUGUGUUCAUUGCCUGCUGUUUUCUAGAGCCCACCCUCACACCCAGCUCCCAAAGGUACUUCACCAAUCCUCAUGUAUCUGAAAGAAGCACUAAAUGGCAUGAAGGACUUGAAAGGCAAAGAAAGCCAUCCAUUCUUGUUCAUCAUUUGGAGCCAGGCACUCCAGAAGCCAGCUGUCACCUGUGCUCUGGAAGAACAAUCGAAGAAGUCCUGGAUCUCUUUCCUGCACGCCUCCUCGCUGAAUUCAUUCUGCUUCCAGCAAGCCAUCAUCACCGACAUCUCCGUGAUACAGGUUGCCUCUGGAGAGGAAGAACUGGAGUACCUUCAGCAACACGCCGACCUUCCUUACACCUCUGCCCCGCGCUUACCCAGACACCCCCGCUCCGAGUGCUCACCGCCUUUCUCUCGGCGUCGGUUCCCGACGCGGUUAGCUAGGAUAAGAGGCUUGUUGGGUUUCAGGACAGGUUUGUUCGGGUUCCCCAAUCGCGCCAGGCGGCCUCGUAAACUGGGAGUCGCCAUUUUGCACAGCGUUCCCAGUAGCCUCCGCGGCGUGCGUGACCCCUCCUGACCCUAACGCGCUGGGAGUGCACCGGCAGCUGCGCGCGCGCUUUCCUGAUCCUGACUCCGCCGAGUGGGUCGGCUCAAACCCCGGGGGGGCAGCCGCCGCCAGCUAUUUGAAAAACCGAAUCCAGCCAGGCACAGUGGUGCACACCGGUAAUUCCAGCAGAGUUCGAGGCCAGCCUGGUCUACAAACGAGUCUAGGACGGCCAAGGCUACACAGAGAAACCCUGCCUCGAAAGAAAAAAAAAAUGACAGAGAACCGAGGUUGUGCUACGGAUUCCUAUGCAUGGCAUUUGCAAAUGAACUCCCAAAACAUUUCUGCUAAUGGAAUCGGAAUCCAACUGAAGAGCUUAAGAUAGCCUGAAUAUAACUCCAUUUUGAAAUAAAGAUCUUGACUGGGAACUGAAUUCAGGCACCAGGAAAUAUCACAGAAUGUACACCUGGCAGAAAACAAAGUUAACUCUCCUAGCAACAGCCUCUAGGAAAUAUAACAGAAUAAAUGCUUCAUAGAAAAUAGAGACAAACUCCCUGGCAAUAAUCAAUGGGAAUCGGUUGAGAAUCGGGUGGGAAAAUUCUCCCCAAUGUUUCAGAUAUGGUUUAGAAAAAUAGCCAUUGUGAUUAUGUGCCUCAGAAAAGGUCACCCCGCCCUGCUAAACUUCACCCAAUUCUGUAAUGCCAAGGCUUGUGCCCCCUGCUUGCUGCCAUGGAAACCCCCAGUUCACAGACUUUCCCUUUAAAAAUCAUGUUCACUCAGAGCUCGGGGUCCCACUUCUCUACUGCUGCGCCAGUGAGACUUGGGUCCCGAGUUCGAUCGCUCUCAUAAUAAAGCUCUCUUGCAAUUGCA